rnacentral:rRNA from 1 species
CCUACGGGUGGCAGCAGUGGGGAAUAUUGGGCAAUGGGCGCAAGCCUGACCCAGCAACGCCGCGUGAAGGAUGACGGCUUUCGGGUUGUAAACUUCUUUUAUCAGGGACGAAGCAAGUGACGGUACCUGAGGAAUACGCCACGGCUAACUACGUGCCAGCAGCCGCGGUAAUACGUAGGUGGCAAGCGUUAUCCGGAUUUACUGGGUGUAAAGGGCGUGUAGGCGGGAGUGCAAGUCAGAUGUGAAAACUAUGGGCUCAACCCAUAGCCUGCAUUUGAAACUGUACUUCGUGAGUGCUGGAAAGGCAAUCGGAAUUCCGGGUGUAGCGGUGAAAUGCGUAGAUAUACGGAGGAACACCAGUGGCGAAGGCGGAUUGCUGGACAGUAACUGACGCUGAGGCGCGAAAGCGUGGGGAGCAAACAGGAUUAGAUACCCCUGUAGUC